rnacentral:rRNA from 1 species
AAAAGCACGCAAAAUCGCGCGUUGGAGUUGCUCUAAAGUGGCUCGUGUGUAUGACUGCCACUGCGAGAUGGGGCCCGUGGUGUGUUGGGCGAAGCUUUUCUUCAUGCUCUCGGCCUCCUUAUCCUUCCUUCCCCUUCUCCUCUCCAACUGCUAGAUCUAGAGUAGCCCCGUUAAAGCCCAAACAAAAACCCCGCCGCGAGAUCUGCGCAUCUCGCCACACCACCACCACGACGGCCAUGGCGGCGCCGCGCGUCCUCCUCCUCCUCGCCGCCGCGGCCAUCCUCGCCGUCGCCUCCCUCGGGGACGCUUCGGGCGAGGGCCCCCGCGGGCGCAAGCUGCUGGUGCUCGUCGACGAUCUGGCCGUCCGCUCAUCCCACUCGGCCUUCUUCGGCUCGCUUCAGGCCCGCGGGCUAGAUCUGGAGUUCCGCCUCGCCGACGACCCCAAGCUCUCGCUCCACCGCUACGGUCAGUACCUCUACGACGGCCUCGUCCUCUUCGCCCCAUCGACCCCGCGUUUCGGCGGAUCGGUGGACCAGAAUGCUGUUCUGGAGUUUAUCGAUGCUGGGCACGAUAUGAUUCUGGCAGCAGAUCAUUCGGCUUCAGAUCUGAUCCGCGGCAUCGCGACGGAGUGUGGGGUUGACUUUGAUGAGGACCCGGAAGCAAUGGUUAUUGACCACAUCAAUUAUGCCUCCAGUGAGGUUGAAGGUGACCACACCUUGAUUGCUGGCGAUGACCUGAUUCAGUCAGAUGUGAUAUUGGGAUCCAAAAAGAUUGAGGCUCCUGUUCUGUUCCGAGGGAUUGCGCAUGCGGCUAAUCCAUCCAACAGCUUGGUUUUAAAGGUUCUAUCUGCCUCGCCAUCAGCGUAUUCAGCAAACCCGGAGGCUAAGCUGGCAUCCGUUCCAUCUCUCACAGGGUCGGCCAUAUCACUGGUUUCUGUUAUGCAGGCUAGGAAUAAUGCUCGUGUGUUAAUAUCUGGAUCACUGGAUUUGUUUAGCAACAGGUUCCUAAAGUCUGGUGUGCAGAAGGCUGGCAGCAAAAUGAGCCAUGACAAAGCUGGAAAUGAACAAUUUGUGACAGAGACGAGCAAAUGGGUCUUCCAUGAGAGGGGUCAUCUGAAGGCAGUGAAUGUGAUGCACCAUAAGGUUGGGGAGACAAAUGAGCCUAGCAUGUACCGCAUCAAUGAUGACUUGGAAUACUCAGUUGAGAUAUAUGAAUGGUCUGGUACAAGUUGGAAGCCAUAUGUUGCUGAUGAUGUUCAGAUUCAGUUUUUCAUGAUGAGCCCUUAUGUUCUGAAAAAUAUGUCAACUGACAAAUCGGCUGUAUAUUCAGCAUCCUUCAAAGUUCCAGAUGUUUAUGGAGUUUUCCAGUUCAAGGUUGAGUACCAAAGGCUUGGAUACACUGGCCUCUCUCUUGCAAAGCAGAUUCCAGUCCGUCCAUACAGGCAUGACGAGUAUGAGAGGUUCAUAACUUCAGCGUUUCCAUACUAUGCUGCCUCAUUUUCAACAAUGGGAGCCUUCUUCAUAUUCUCAGUUGCGUACCUGUAUCACAAAUAGAUAGCUCAUCAAGUAGUGGAAGUAAAUCAAGGCGGUGAUGGAAUUGUGAUGUCAUAAGCAUGGUGAUCUUAGGUGCAAUUUUAUGGAACCAUCUUUUUGUAGCGCCAAUCUGUAGUACCUUUAUUUUUAAGAAAUGGGCUUCUCCCUGCCACCAACUUUUAUUAACAUUUUUGCUAUUUUUCAGUUGACUGAUUUUGAUUUGGCUUUAAGCCAAAUUUUGUGGCCGUCUGAUUUCAGCACGGAUCUCAGCGUGCUGUGUGCCUGCCGUCCCCGUGCGUGUGUGAUGGCUUUUAUUGGGUUCUGGGUUUUGUCUUCCCACCUGUUUUGGACCCGUGACCGUCACACGAGUAGAUCUUUUGAAUUUUCUAUUGGAUCAAGAAGUCUGUGGUCUUAUUAGUUUUUCAAAAUGGAAAUUCAGUAACGAUCAUAUUUUAUUAGCAUAUAGGUUCAGAGAUAACUUUACUCAGAAACAAAUUAUUGGUUGUUCUGAUGUAUGUUCAAUAGC